rnacentral:misc_RNA from 1 species
CUAAGAUACCCAUUGGAUUAUAAAUCUUGAGCCAAUGGGAAAUAAAUAAUAAAUCCAGACAUUGUUUUUACUCUUGUUCCACCAAUCCUUCUGUUCUUCCUUCUUUGUCAAUCUCAUCGAUCAGCACCCACCAGCCUUCUCUGCCCUUUACACCAUUCCACGUUCUCUUCUCUCCCUCCCCCGUACAUUCUCUAGCUGGUCAUCCCUCGCCACCGAUCCAGGUUUCAUUGAGCUGGUUAUUAUCAUCGGUAGCCACACUACACUGCUGGUGGUUGAGAUCUGUAAAGAUGCAGUCACAUUCUGGAGAUGCUUCCUUUAUGGUGAAAAAAGAAACAAAUGACUACACCAGUUCAAGUUUUGCUGGUCAUCAAGAUAGAACUCUUCAAGGGCCUAUAGAAGUUUCUUCAUCUGAGGAAGAUGACUCUCAUGACACAGAGGAUACGGAUGACCCGUCUGUUGAAAAUGCUUCAAAGCAAUUGGUACUUUAUGAUCCUGUGGCUAAUGGUACUGCUGUAACUGAACCUGCCCCUCAACCAAUUCAGUGCCAGCCUGCAGCGUUUGGAAGAAAUUUGGGUUCUAAUAUGCCUUCUAGAGUUUUGCCAUCUGUAGGGGCUUUCACUGUCCAGUGUGCCGACUGCUUUAAAUGGAGGCUCAUCCCAACAAAGGAGAAGUAUGAAGAAAUACGUGAACAUAUUCUAGAGCAGCCUUUCUAUUGCAAAACGGCUUGUGAGUGGCGGCCUGAUAUAUCAUGUGAUGAUCCAACUGACAUUUCUCAAGAUGGCAGUAGGCUCUGGGCAAUUGAUAAACCUAACAUUGCCCAGCCACCUCGUGGGUGGCAACGGCUGUUACGAAUUAGAGGUGAAGGGAGUACCAAAUUUGCAGACGUGUACUAUGAGUCACCAUCAGGCAAGAGGCUCCGCUCAAUGGUAGAGAUCCAAAAGUACUUAAUGGAUCAUCCUGAAUAUGUGCAAGACGGGGUAACACUGUCACAAUUUUCAUUUCAAAUCCCAAAGCCUUUGCAGGAGAACUAUGUGAGAAAGCGUCCUGCCCGUGUAUCAGCUACAUGUGAUGACACUAGACCUCUUGAGCCUAAUGAAGGUACUUGAAAGACUCGGAUUGAAUUUUUUACACAAACUAAAGAGAGAAUUUUUGCUGAACUGAUUUUAGUUUGUAUCUGAAUGACAUAAUGUUCCACCAGUUUUUACAUGGCACAAAAGGCCAAUUUGGUCCUUGCAUUUAGCACCAAGGCUCAAUUAGGUAAAAAAUAGCUCUUACGGCCAAAUUGACAUUGAACUCGGCAAAUUGGAUUAAGGUGACUCAAAUUUGGAAACUGAGACACAAAACGCAGUAGAGUAGAGGCGAGUGAGCGCUGGCAGAUUGGAAUGACAAAUUACAUUUUUGUCCUUGAUACUUUAUGAAAAUAAUUACGUCAUUUUUUCAAGAUUUUUUUUAAAAUAAUAUUUUUUUCAAAGAAUAUUUUCAAAAUGUGUUGGAAUUGUUGAAUAUUAUUGAAUUUUUUUUUUAUUUUAAUUUUCAA